UACGGAGGAUCCGAGCGUUAUCCGGAUUUAUUGGGUUUAAAGGGUGCGCAGGCGGGAGAUUAAGUCGGCGGUGAAAUUUUGCAGCUCAACUGUAAAAGUGCCUUCGAAACUGGUUUCCUUGAGUGUGGAUGAAGUAGGCGGAAUUUGUGGUGUAGCGGUGAAAUGCAUAGAUAUCACGAGGAACUCCGAUUGCGAAGGCAGCUUACUAAUCCAUCAUUGACGCUGAGGCACGAAAGUGUGGGGAUCAAACAGGAUUAGAUACCCU
rnacentral:rRNA from 1 species